rnacentral:tRNA from 1 species
CAGAGAAUAGUUUAUAUAAAAUAUUAAUUUUGGAGAUUAAUGAAAAAAAUUAUUUUUUUUCUCUGA